rnacentral:tRNA from 1 species
GCACCUGUAGCUCAAUUGGAUAGAGCGCUUGACUUCGGAUCAAGUGGUUGCGGGUUCGAGUCCUGCCAGGUGCGCCU